AUGGCUUUGCAGAGCAUCCUGGAAGCCGUGUGGCUGGGGCUCCUGUUCAGCUCUCUCUGGAAGGUUGCAGAGAGCAAGGACCAAGUAUUUCAGCAACCCUCUGUGGUAUCUUCGGAGGGCGUUGUGGUGGAAAUCUCCUGUAAUCACUCUAUAUCCAAUGCUUACAACUUCUUCUGGUACCUUCAGUCCCCGGGACGUGCACCGAGACUCCUUGUAAAGGGCGCAAGGCCCUCUCAGCAGGGACGCUACAACAUGACAUACGAGCGAUUCUCGUCUUCACUGUUCAUCCCCCAGGUGCAGGUGGCAGAUGCUGCCAUUUACUACUGUGCCCUGGGGGACACAGAGGCAGAGAACUCAUGA